rnacentral:rRNA from 1 species
AUUGAACGCUGGCGGCAUGCCUUACACAUGCAAGUCGAACGGCAGCACGGACUUCGGUCUGGUGGCGAGUGGCGAACGGGUGAGUAAUGCAUCGGACGUACCCGGUAGUGGGGGAUAACUACCCGAAAGGGUGGCUAAUACCGCAUAUACUGUGCGCAGGAAAGCAGGGGACCUUCGGGCCUUGCGCUACCGGAGCGGCCGAUGUCAGAUUAGGUAGUUGGUGGGGUAACGGCCUACCAAGCCUGCGAUCUGUAGCGGGUCUGAGAGGAUGAUCCGCCACACUGGGACUGAGACACGGCCCAGACUCCUACGGGAGGCAGCAGUGGGGAAUUUUGGACAAUGGGCGCAAGCCUGAUCCAGCCAUGCCGCGUGAGUGAAGAAGGCCUUCGGGUUGUAAAGCUCUUUCGGACGGAAAGAAAUCGCGCAGGCUAAUACCCUGCGCGGAUGACGGUACCGUCAUAAGAAGCACCGGCUAACUACGUGCCAGCAGCCGCCGUAACAC